rnacentral:lncRNA from 1 species
GGGUCUGGACCGGGCCUGGGCCAGACAAGGGCCGAGCCUGGGCUUUUAAAACCAAUUUUUAAAUAAAAUUAUAAGUACUAAAAACAUAAUUAUCCAUUACAUAUUACUACAAUAAGCAAAUUUGUAUCACUCCGUAUUUUUUUUUGAAUAUUUUCUGACUCUGCAGAUGGAUUUGAAGGCAAAUUUGUAUUAGAAGAUAUAGAAGCAUUUUCUAUUAUAAACCUAUACAAAAUUAACGGAGAUAAGAUAUUAAAUUAAUUAAUUAAUUAUUUAAUUAAUUAAAUAUCAUAUAAAAAAUUUUAAUAACACUGAAAAAUUUCUAAUUUUUACAUCAUUGAUCAUUAUGUCAUAAUAAAUUUACAAGCACAGGACAUCAUAAAUUCAAAAAUUCAUAAUGCUUCAUUUACAAAUUACAAAUAAAUUUACAACGUCCAGAAUUGAUUGAAAAACAAAACCCCCAAAUUUGCAAACCAACAACCAACAAUCAACAAUCAACAACAAAACCAACAACACAACUCAAAAUCAUUAACCAAGCACAAUAUUCUUCAACAUUUUCUACAUUAAUCAACAACCAUCCUAAAUUCUUCACGAUAUUCUUUACAGCUCAAAAACAAAAAAUUCUUCACAAUACUCUUCACCAAAUUAACCAAUUACAUAUAUUUAGGCAUGAUAUUAUACAAUAAAAAAAAUUGAAGCUUAAUUGAGGUGGAGUACCGGAGUUGGUGAUGGCUUGCUGGUUUGAAUCGCGUCGUCACUGGUUUGGGUUGCGUUGGAACAGAUCGGUGCUGCUGCCUAGCGCGCGUUGGAGUAGUUGCGACUGCAGCGUCGCGCGGUUGUGCUGGGGGUCGGGAGAUGGUGAGUGGUUGGACGCUUCACGCUCGCGGUUCUGGACUCUCGUGGCUCGCUGCUGUGCUGGACGCUGUAGGCUGCUCUUGGUUGCCGAUGGCGUGAACAGUGAGAAAUGGGGGAAACCGGAAAUGAGGGAUUUAGUUUAGGGAUUGAUUUUAGUUUCGGGUUCAAUAUCAAUUUGAAUCCGUUAUUCCGUUUUGUAUUUUCUUUUAAUUUUUCAAUUUUUUUUUAAUUUGAAUUUUAUAACAUGUAUAAAAUUUUGGAUUUAAAAAAAAAUAUAUAAUUUAUUAUAAAGUCCGGGCUUAAGUCUGAACUUUUGAGUAAAGUCUUUGGCUGAACCCAUUACAUAUAGACUUUACAAAUUACGAGCCUUUCUCUAUGAUUUAAGCCGCGGGCUGGGCUUAAAACCCGCGAGCCUGGGCCGGCCCGGACUUUUCUGCCACUCCUAAUCCCAGGUCUGUGCUAUAGUUCAAUUUAACCCUGUAGCUUCACUGUACGGAGCUCAUGUUCUGAGAGGCGCAAACUCAUAUCUUCAAAGAAUAUCUCUGUUGGUUCGAGUCGGCCUGGAUUGCAUAUAGGUAAGCUCUAAUUCAAUUUUCAUGUAACAAUGAUAUUUUGUUAGUAAUAUAUGGAAGAGUAAUUAGGUGCUUCCAGUCGCGUACUUUGCAUGCGCGUCAAGCUCAUUGAUGGGAGUUGUGCUGAGAAGUUCACAGCUACCCAAUGGAAUCAUAUAUAUGUGUUUGUGUGUGUGGGAACAACUCAAUUUGUAUAUAAAUUGAUGCAAAGUAUGAGAAAAUGUGAGGAAUUGACGUGG